AUUAAGAGUCCUGGCAACCUGUUACAUCCUAAGAGUUGUGUUUGGCUCAAGGUCACGCAAGGUUGGGUGUCUCAGCUGGAUUUAAACAAAGAACAAUUGAGUUCCUAAUCUACGGCUCAGCCCAUUGGACCACAGUGACCUCUGGUCUCUUGUACCUGGAAGCCCAGCCCUGCUGGAGGAAGUAAUGCGCCUGCUCUCCAGCAACUCCAACGUCUUUGCAACCAGUUCCCCAUGUUCCAUCCCCUCUGCUGAAGACCUAGGCUGGGCACUGUUUUCCCAACUGAUCUGUAGCUGGAAUCUCUGAAGGCACGUCUGUGGUACACACGAGGAGCCUGAAACUGGGAGAAGCCCCUGGACCUGCCUGUGUGAAUUGCAUUAGCAGUGGGACAGGACCCAGCUCUCCCAGGGCUCCACCUACUCAGAAGUCCUCGGGCAGCAUUUAAGGACACGAAUCACCUGACUUCACUGCGGGGAAAUCCUCUCACGGCAUGACUUCCUGUCACAGUAGAAUAGAACCCACGCUCCGACCCAUGACCUACAGCUCUCAGCAUGCUCACUCUAAGAGCUCUGCCAGCUUACAGCCCUCACGUCCUCAUGGUGCCAGCAGCCUCCAAACCUGGUCCUGCGACACAGGAUCUCUGUUGGUUCCUCAUCCUGGGAUGCUUUUCCCAGACCCUCCAUGUCUAGCUCCUUCCUCCCAUUAUCUGACAGCUCUGUGGAAUGCAACCCCACCCACCCAUCAUCACUAUCUCCCAUUCUGCCUUAGUUUCUUCCUUCGUUCUUCCUUUUCUUUUUGACAAGGUCUUGCUCUGUUGCCCAGGCUGGAGUUCAAUAGUGCAAUCAUGGCUCACUGCAGCCUCAACCUCCUUGAUCCUUGAUCCUCCCAUCUCAGCCUCCCAGGUAGCUGGGACCACAGGUGUAAGCCACCAAACCUGGCUAAUUUUUGUUGUUGUUGUUUGCGUUUUUGAGAAAGGGUCUCACUCUGUUGCUCCCUGGGUUCAAGUGAUUCUCCCAUCUGAGCCUCCCGAGUAUCUGGGACUAUAGGCACGUGCCACUACGCCCGGCUAAUUUUUGUUUUUGUUUUUGCUUUUGUUUUUGUUUGAGACUGAGUCUCACUCUGUUGCCCAGGCUGGAGUGUAGUGGUGCAAUCUCCACUCACCGCAACCUCCACCUCCUGGGUUCAAGCGAUUCUCCUGCCUCAGUCUCCCAAGUAGCUGGGAUUACAGGCGCAUGCCACUAUGCCCGGCUAAUUUUUGUAUUUUUAGUAGAGAUGGGGUUUUGCCAUGUUGGCCAGGCUGGUCUUGAACUCCUGACCUCAGGUGAUCCACCCACCUCAGCCUCCCAAAGUGCUAGGAUUACAGGCAUGAGCCACUGCACCCAGCCAGACUUGCUAAUUUUUGUAUUUUUUUUGUAGAGACGGAGUUUCACUAUGUUGCCCAGGCUGGUCUUGAACUUCUGGGCCAAGUGAUCUGCCAAAGUGCUGGGAUUACAUGUGUGAACCACCAUGACUGGCCUGCCUUAGUUUUCUUAGUAGUAUUUAUCCCUGCCUAAAAUUCUCUUCGAUGACUAUUGUCUUACACAUGCAUUUGUUUACUGAUUUCUCUCCUUCCCUAGAACGUACAAGUUCCAUGGAAGCAGAGACUUAGUUGGCUUGUUCACCACUCUAUCUCCAAUGCCUAGAUGGUGGCUGGCACUCAUGAGGAGCUCAAUAAAUAUAUGUUGAAUGAAUGGAUG
rnacentral:lncRNA from 1 species